rnacentral:rRNA from 1 species
CUCAGAACGAACGCUGGCGGCAGGCCUAGCACAUGCAAGUCGAACGCCCUAGCAAUAGGGAGUGGCAGACGGGUGAGUAACACGUGGGAACCUUCCCUAUAGUACGGAAUAGCUCAGGGAAACUUGAAGUAAUACCGUAUACGCCCGAGAGGGGAAAGAUUUAUCGCUAUAGGAUGGGCCCGCGUCGGAUUAGCUAGUUGGUGAGGUAAUGGCUCACCAAGGCGACGAUCCGUAGCUGGUUUGAGAGAACGACCCAGCCACACUGGGACUGAGACACGGCCCAGACUCCUACGGGAGGCAGCAGUGGGGAAUAUUGGACAAUGGGCGCAAGCCUGAUCCAGCCAUGCCGCGUGAGUGAUGAAGGCCUUAGGGUUGUAAAGCUCUUUUAGCAGGGAAGAUAAUGACUGUACCUGCAGAAUAAGCUCCGGCUAACUUCGUG